rnacentral:rRNA from 1 species
UGGGGAAUCUUGCGCAAUGGGCGAAAGCCUGACGCAGCGACGCCGCGUGUGGGAUGAAGGCCUUCGGGUCGUAAACCACUGUCGGGAGGGACGAAAAUCUGACGGUACCUCCAAAGGAAGCACCGGCUAACUCCGUGCCAGCAGCCGCGGUAAUACGGAGGGUGCGAGCGUUGUCCGGAAUCACUGGGCGUAAAGGGCGCGUAGGCGGCCCGGUAAGUAGGAGGUGAAAUCUUGCGGCUCAACCGCAAGGCUGCCUUCUAAACUGCCAGGCUUGAGCACAGUAGAGGCAGGUGGAAUUCCCGGUGUAGCGGUGGAAUGCGUAGAGAUCGGGAAGAACAUCGGUGGCGAAGGCGGCCUGCUGGGCUGUUGCUGACGCUGAGGCGCGACAGCGUGGGGAGCAAACAG